rnacentral:tRNA from 1 species
AGUCUUAUAGUCAAAUAUGACAUUAAAUUGCAAAUUUAAAGGAAAAUAUAAAUAUAUUUUAAGGCUU